rnacentral:rRNA from 1 species
GAUGAACGCUGGCGGCGUGCCUAAUACAUGCAAGUCGAGCGAACAGACGAGGAGCUUGCUCCUCUGACGUUAGCGGCGGACGGGUGAGUAACACGUGGAUAACCUACCUAUAAGACUGGGGUAACUUCGGGAAACCGGAGCUAAUACCGGAUAAUAUAUUGAACCGCAUGGUUCAAUAGUGAAAGACGGUUUUGCUGUCUCUUAUAGAUGGAUCCGCGCCGCAUUAGCUAGUUGGUAAGGUAACGGCUUACCAAGGCAACGAUGCGUAGCCGACCUGAGAGGGUGAUCGGCCACACUGGAACUGAGACACGGUCCAGACUCCUACGGGAGGCAGCAGUAGGGAAUCUUCCGCAAUGGGCGAAAGCCUGACGGAGCAACGCCGCGUGAGUGAUGAAGGUCUUCGGAUCGUAAAACUCUGUUAUUAGGGAAGAACAAAUGUGUAAGUAACUAUGCACGUCUUGACGGUACCUAAUCAGAAAGCCACGGCUAACUACGUG